rnacentral:rRNA from 1 species
UACGAAGGGGGGCUAGCGUUGCUCGGAAUCACUGGGCGUAAAGCGCACGUAGGCGGAUCUUUUAAGUCAGGGGUGAAAUCCCAAGGCUCAACCUUGGAACUGCCUUUGAUACUGGGGAUCUCGAGUCCGGAAGAGGUGAGUGGAACUGCGAGUGUAGAGGUGAAAUUCGUAGAUAUUCGCAAGAACACCAGUGGCGAAGGCGGCUCACUGGCCCGAUACUGACGCUGAGGCACGAAAGCGUGGGGAGCAAACAGG